AACUUGUCAUUCUGACAAAAUUAAACAAAAUAAAUAAAUUGGAAACAAAAUAAGAACAAAUUUCAAUUCAACUUUAUUGGUACCUUGUAACAUCAGGUUAUAUUCCAGACACUUCUGUAGUUUGGAAAUCUGACUAAUUUAGAUAGAUUUUAAAACAGCUGGAUUGGUGUUUUCAGUGAUAGUUUAGAAGACAAUUUAAGGCUUUUUUGUACAUUUUAUUGUUUGACAGACAACUAAAACCGGCAGCUAUUAUUUACUUAUUUAAAUAUGAGCAUAAACAUAACUAUUAGUAUGAAAUGUUCAGUAAUGGUUAGAUUCUCUUCUCAUUGCCCUGGUUUUGUUAAUUUGGUAACACUUUAUUUUGAAGGCAGAAAGAAUGACUUCCGAUUUUGGUGUUAUUUUGUAAUUCGACAUCUUUGUUUCAGUCUCUUUUACAGCUGGUUCCCGCUUCCUUAAAUGCAAAAGUCAACUUUUAAUUUUGCUUGUUUUAGUUUUAUUUCAAAUAUUAGGUAAACACUAUAGAUGUCUACAAGUCCAAAACAUUCAAAAAUACACUUUUCCUUGUCAUCAUAUAUCCUUUAGCCUAUUAGAAUAUCAUGUCAGACCAGAAAUUAUGUUUUUGCAUUAAUGAAACUUCCCAUUUAUACAUGUGAGGACUGACUACCAGAGGAUUUGAGGAGUGGUGAUCCACAAGACCUCAUUCUAGGUCCUGCUCUAGUUUAUUCCUUCUCAGAACCCGGUCCUGUGGACCAAGGUGCAGCAACAUAUUAAAAAAAAAAAAAAAAAAAACGACAACUGAUAUAAACAUUGGAAAAUCUAGAGUCCAAAUAAAGUAUUAUAUUUAUGACAGGAAUGAACUCUGUAUUAUUUCUAUGGCUUUGUGUCUCUGCAAAUUUCAGUCUCUGACUUAAUUAUUUUGCUGGACAUGCUUUACUUUUAGUUAAAUUCUUAAUUGUGAUCUUAAUAAUUAAUCUUUUAAUCAUAAAUAUAUAUACACACACACAUAUAAUAAUGAAUAAAUUAAAAAUGCAAUAAGACUUUUUAAAAUUUAAAUUACACUUGAACUGAUAUAGAAAAUGAAUGGAUGAAUCAAAUGCAAAAUUAAAUAAACUUAAAUUUAAGAUUAAAUAAAAAAAAUAAAAUGAAUCUACUGAAGUUCUAAAAUGUUUUGACAGGUUCUUGAGGUUUAAGUAUUUUUUCACAAAACAAUUAUAACAAUAAAAGCUUUGUGAGGCACUUUGUAUUGGUGUUUUCGUGGUGGGGACUGGGCAGAAACUGUCACAUAAUUUUUCUCUCCUGUUUGCUGCUUAAAGCCCAACAAUUUGUGUUAAACUGACAAUAACUAGAACUGAAAACGAUGCAGCGACCAGCAUCUUGUGGGUGGGAGUCUGUGGGUGGAUGUCACUGCAGUGAAGAGCGGAUCAUGCUGGAGCGUGUCGAUACUAACACGCCUCGACACUCACAAACGCGUCAUGUUCCCAUUGCUUCAGUGUUCUCAGUCACAAAAACAAAUGUUGAAAGAUCUGAAGCUGGAGUCCGAACGAUGAAUGACCACACAGAUCUGCAGCAGGUCCACCUGACCUAAGCCGCACACAACAAAGUGUUUUAUGCAGCGAGAUGGUGUUAUGAGGCCACACCCAAACAGGAAGGAGUCACCAAGAAUAGAGAGGUCCUCCACCCAACCAGCUUCCCUUUCACUGACACACACUUCCUCUAAGUCCGUUUGUUUGUUUCAUGGAAAGUUCUGCUAAUGUUUCAGUCAAAAGAAAAAAAAACAGACAAGUGAAAAUCAACAAUAGAUGUGAUGUUGACUACAAAGUUAAAAUAAUGAGAUUUGGUCUUUUCUGUUGUAAAGAUUUGCAUUUCUGUUGCUGUUUUCUGAGAUUAAUUUAAUGCAGGAUCACGCUUCAGUGCUCGGCUGAUUCAGAGCCUAAAAUCUUAAACUUGUUGCCAUCCGUUCCCUUUGGGUCCUUUCUAAAAACUGAGCACGUUAAAUGUCACUUCUUGAGCUUUUUUCCUCAUUUUUUAUUUUUUUAUUAUUUCCAAAUAAAAUUUUUCAUUUGCAGAACUGAAGCUGUAACUGAUUCCCUCCUGUCAGAUUUUGAAAUAGUCUUCCUCCUGCACAUCUCUCAGACUGGAGCACGUUUCCUAAACGACGAGGCGGCCCAUCAGAGCAGAAUAAAUCACAGAGCUUCAAAGAGGUAAAAUCAUCAGCAUGUCAAUGACCCAGGCCCAGCCACACUGGUACAAACUCCUCAGUCCAGAUGUUGCUAAGAGACCAGAUGAACGAGCAUCAUUUGGUUUGUUUACUCUCGAACGAGUUUCUGCCUCAUUUAAGCAGCCAAUCAGAGGUGCAUGCAGCCAAAAGAGAGGAAAGUCAUCUCCUCCCAAUUCUUCGGACGAGGAGAUGAAAAUAUCCAACAUGACAUCAGCAUGCAGAAGUUUGGGCGUUCGGGUAAACAGGACGUCAGCUGUUUGUGAAGAGCUUUGACGAUCAUAGGUACCUACAAAGGGCAAGCGACAUCAACAAAACACAGAUAAAACGAGAGAGACACUUCUACUUCCUGUCACCUGUCUCGGUCUGUGCUCAGUGGAGCAGGAUGCUGAUGGUUUCCUGUCACCGUGGGAACGUGUGACCAAAACCAACACCAGUAAAACGAUUAUCCUGAAUUUAGCUCCAUCCAUCUUUCCGUCAACUCUGACCAGCUUCCCUGUUCCUGCUGCCACCAGUGUUUUACAGUGGGAUGGUGAAGGGAUUUCCUACCUGACUCUGCAGCAUCGUUAGCGGCGUCUCCCCCUGCUCCAUGGCGUCGGGAUCAGCCAACCAGCUCUGAGCCGGUCGGGUCUGUUUCAGCAGCGACAGAGCAUGUCAGCCAUGAUGUCGAGCGCCUCCAGUUGCACUGACACGUCUUCCUGUUUGGCGAUGGCGCUCGUCAGUCGACCCGUUAUCUUCUUGCAAACACUGGCAGCCAAAGCAGAGCCUGAAACGUGGACACAUGAAGAAAUGAUCAGCAGUCCUCUAACUCAACUGCAAACCUACCAAGACCUGGGUGUCCACCUAACCCAAGCAACCGGACAGGAGAAGCAUUAAUCAGAGAAGCAGCACAGAGGCUCUUAGUAACUAUGGAGGAGCUGCAGAGAUCCACAGCUCAGGGCAGUGACCAGGUAGCUACCAAGUACCUAGAAUGCACCAGAGUGGGAAGUCCGUGGGCAUUUCCUUUGAACUGGCAAGCAGAGUGGGUUACAGGCAGUUAAAACAGUCAGUCAAAACAGUGCCGCUAGAGCUCUGCAGGAUGAGGUGACAGGUGUUACUCAUCACCAUCAUCAGCUGGGAGGUUUAAAACGGGCACGCUGCCAGCACUUCGACACCUGAGUGUUUUACCUUUGUGGUUCAGUUCCUAGACCAAGCUCAAGCUCCUUUGGAGAACUUACCUGACCUCGCCUUCACUGCCAAGACUUCAAGUUCGGAUCCCCAAGUCAAGUUCCAGCUGGCAGCCUCUGAACCUCCUACCUCCAGCUUCUAUCGAGCGAACCCUGUCCACCCUCCCACGAGUGGCACCUCCGAACCCUGUCCAAAGAAAAGCACCCGAAUCAAGUUCAGAUUCCGGAAAAGAAGGACAGCAGAUUCUACGUUUACCCAGGCUUACUAAGAGUUUCCCAGACCCAGACGUCAUUCCUCCAGGCAGACCUUCCACUCCUGAAAUCUCUGAGAAGUUCCUGUCCCGGUUCAUACCCUCUCCGCUCCUGUAGCAAAAUAAACUCUUUAAACUUCUUCGUUCUUCUGAGUGUUAUCUGCAUGUGGGUCAAAUCGGCAACAACUAAAAUGACACUUCUCUUAAAAAAUCAGUUUACUUAAACAAUGUAGAUUAAACAUGGGCCAACCAACCAUGCACAUGCCUCUUAAUAAUAUGGGUUUCUAUUGGAGACAAACUGAUCGAGACUCGAUGUGGAUUCAGUUUUAGGUUUUUAGGAUCAGGGGAAGCUGAAUGUGGCUCCUCAGAAAGGACAGACGGAUAAACGUGUGGUGAGUCACAGAUCAGCAGCGUGGGAUGUUUAUGAACCCUCGGGUGCUCUCUCUGCUGACACAUAAUGCAGCCGCUGACAUAUGCAGGCUGUUAUUCCCGUGUAGGUGUAUCCAUCUACUACAUGUGUGCUAAUGUUCACACAUGACCUUGUCUUCAGGAUUCAAUAGCAGCUGACUAUAAUCUCUGAAAUUUGGCAGCAGCUUCAUCACAAACACUCCUUCAGAUUUCUGUCAGGAAGAAAUUAAGAUGGUAAAUAUGAAGGUGUGAAGAAGGGGAUUAUUUUUCAGUCAUUCUGCUCUUAUUAGUUUGAUGAAGACGAGGCUGGAUGAGUCACUGUAAUUAUCUUCUCAGACAUUCAGCAGUAUUUUAUUGGAUGUGGCAGAGUUAUGAGAAGAGAAAACUGAGUGGAUCUUUGCUGAGAAGUGAAGCGUUGGUCGUGUCACCACAGACCAGAAGGACACUGACACUUUCCCUCACCAUGGACCAGAAUAACCCCCGAAACCAUAGUAACGGUACACAAAAGGAAGUCAUCUAAUGACUGGAAAUGUUCAGGAGGAAGAUCAAGAAACCGGACCGUAAUACGUCAAGGGAGAGAUUUCUGCAGUCAUUUAAAGGAUAAAAGUAUACCAUGAGAUUUUCAACCCUUUGAGGUUCCUUCAGUACGUUCUCCACCUGAACACAGAGAGGUAGUUUAAAGAUUGCUAAAUUACUGAUAUUAUAUCAACAGAUUCUUCUUCCCAAUUGUUUUUGAAUGCCAAUAUGACUUUUAGCCCUCACCACACUUAACAAAUGUUUCAAAAUUAUCUGACAUUUAUUAUUCCUUAAUGCCAGUUUUAGUAAUUAAAGUCUCUAUUUUAAUUUUUCAACACUGAUUCUGAUUUAUUUUUUAUGGAAAAAAUCUUUAACUAGAGGAAAACAAUGAAACAUUACAUCUUUAAAUAUUUUCAACACUCCUGCUUAAUUUGGCUAUUUGGCUACUUCUCAAAACCAGAUGGAAAAGGAUUUGCAAUAUUCUCCUUUGAAUAUGUCAAAUUUCAUUAAACCAUUGAAGGAAUCUGGAGGAUUGUCAGUAAGAAGGCCUGAGGCAAAGCAUCAAGAAUAUUCAUCCAUCAACAGCUAACAGAACUACAUCAAGAUCUACAAGACAGAGUUUCUUUUACAAAUUUACUGUGCAGACAAGAAGCUUCAUGGCGACCUUGUUCAGAGGUGGAGUCCACUUCUCUGGGCUCUGAGGCAACUCGGAUGGGCCAUUACACAGUGGGAACGUGGAUCAGUAGUCCUUUGUUGGAGGAAAUAGAGCAUCCAGCUAGUUCUCAGCAACCAGUCCCUGCAGCCAGCUUCUGUGAUGUUCAAGGGUUAAAUCAGUGAUCUUGAAUGAAUCAUUUCCACUUCUUUGAUGGCAGCAUUAAUGCAGAAGUGACCAGCUGAGAUUUUCGAUAAACAAAUGCUGCCACAAUUCCAGAUCUUCUCCAGAAAUAAGCCAGUGGAAAACCAAGUUCUACAUGCACUCUAAAAGCCUGGCUGAGUUAAAAGAGGGUACAGCUACGGGACUUUCUACAGUCCUGACGUGACCUGUACUGAGUAGUUCAUGUUGAACCGAAUGAAUGUCCAAUCUUAAACAGGUUUCUUCUCAGCAGACGGUCUCCUAACUCCUUCUUCUAUUGUGUUCAUGUCCACUUUUGGUGAACCUGUGUGGACCGUAGCCAAAGUUUCCUGUCCUUGACCCACAGCGGUGGUGCCCGUUGUGGUCUAUUGCUGCUGUAGUCAUUCUGCUUCAAGUGUCGUACCUUCAGAGAUGAUGUUUUGCAUACCUUGCCUGAGACAAGUGAUUAUUUGAGCUACUGUUCCCUUUCUACCAGAACCAGUCUGUCCAUUCUCUGACAUCAACAAGACAUUUUCCUUCACACAAAUGUCUCUCACUAGAUACUUACUCCUUAUCAGACCAUUCCCAGUGAACCUGAGAGAUGGUUGUGUCUUUGUAACUCAGCAGUUUCUGAAAUAAUCCCUGUUCUUCCCAAUUCCAAUGCUUGUUUUGAACUUCAACAAGUUGUUUUCUCCUUAUCUGGAAGUCUAAAUGUAUUGAGUUACUGUCAUGUGAUUGGCUGAUUCAUCAGUCAACAAGCAUGUGAACAAGUGUACCUAAUAAAGUGACCAGUCAGAGUAUAAAUCAGGUUCCCUCAGGAAGAUGUACAGAAUAUUGCUAGGUAGUGGGAUGUAUGGGUUUUUCUCCUGAACCCGCUAUCUUCAUGACCUGACACCAGUUAAACAAAAGAUAAAGAAAUGGAUCACAGCUGUUAGAGGAGAUGUUUACAGGAGGACUGGUUACAUCUUGUUCCUACACUUAAAUGUUUCAGAUCAGACUUAUUAUAACAUCAAAGAUAACCUGACCCCCAAACCAAACCUAUAAAUAGUCUUUUACAUCACUGUCGAGGAGUUCUGGUCCACUCUGCUUGCAGAAUUGUUUUAAUUCAGCCACAUUAGAUGGUUUUAUAGCCUGAACUGUCAUGUUUGAGGUUAGUUUCCUGACCCACAUGCAGAAUCACUUGAGACGUAGGAUGGAAACGGUAAAACAAAUUAAUUUACAAGUUUGCAAAGAUAACUAUGUACAACUUGGAGGAGAUCCGGAACCCUUGGACUGGUUUCUCCUCAGUGGAGGAGAACAGAGAAGUGGUUAGGUGAGGUGAGGGAUGUUUGAAAGUACUGAGUUGAUUGUUCAGAAGUUGCAAGAUGCCGUUGGAGAUAGUUGUGAUCCUGGCGGUGGACUGUGAAACCAAGACAUUGAGGUGAGACUGAGGAUUUAGGGGAAGUCUUUGUAUCCAUAGAUGCCUAAAGAGAGUGUUCAUGACCCAGAAUGGAGUAGCUAAACCCCACCAGUGGGUAAACCUGCUUGUAAUAUAAAUAAAUUCCUCCACACUUAACCUGAAGGGCAGUAAAGCUGUGUAUUCACUCUGAUGGGGUCACAUGGGUUCUCCAACUCUGUCUGUGUUUCUAUUCAUAUUGAGGUCAUUCUUUGCUUUUUAUCUUGUAGCCUGCAGAGACCCAUUCUUCCACCUCACUGGAUCUAUUCCUGCUCUCUCUCCCCCAUCCAUCUCUGGAAAACUCCGCUGGGAAGAAAGAUGGAUGCUUGUCACAGCAAAGGCUGUCAGUUAAUCGCUGCUGUCAUUGCAAACAAUCUGGUGUUUUUUGUUUGUUUGUUUGUUUGUUUUGAUCCAGUGGGGUUUUUGUUUCCUCCUCCUGUCAAACCAUCAGAUCCAGUCCACUGCAGACACAGUUAUGACUUUUUUUCUUUUCAGCUAAUUGUGAGCUGAAGAAUGAUGUUUAUAUGACUGAAGACCCCAGUAUUUAGUUAUAUGAAAGUUACUAUAUGUCAGAAAGGUGUUUUCCAGGUGCAGCACUGGUGGUGUAGGGGAUUAAGCAUGCAAACCAUAUACAGAGGCCUUAGUCCUCACUGUGGCUGUCCUGGGUUCAAGUCCCAGACCUGGCAACAUUUGCUGCAUUUCUUUCCCUCUUCCUUCAUUCCCAUUUCUUGUCUAUCUACUGUCAAAAAAUAAAGGCCACUAGUGCUGCAAUAAAUUCUUUAAAAAAAAGAAAGGUGACUUCCAAACUCAUUGGAAUUCCUUAUGGUGUUCCACAGGGGUUUAAACUGGGACCACAUCCAUUCUCCGUUUGGGAAAUAUCACCUGGAAUCAUUAAGAUAUUGUUACACUCAUGAUGCCCUGCUUUAUUAAUUAAUACAUUUUGAGUGAACAAAUCAUUUUCUACUUCUGAACUCAGACAAAACAGAGAAAAAAACUCAGUGUUCCACAAUCAAACCAUAAAGCAGUUUUCUAAAGAACUACACUGGAUUUAAUAACCUCUGAGGAACCAGGAAGUACAUCUUUCACCCGGAUUUAUGUUUAGAUUAUUACAUUGAACAGGAGUUCUAUCUUGUAUUGAGUUUUAUUAUAUGUAUUGAUAUAAUUUAUGCACUUCAAUUUCACUUUAAUUCAAAGAGAAAAUGGAAGCAAAGCAACAUUUUCUAUUUUAAACAUUUAACUUUUUUCUAGAUCUUUACUGCAAUAAAGUCAGUAUGGUCCUAAGAGAAAGCAAAUCCAAUGAGUCCUAUAAAAAGACAUAUAACGCAUAAUAAUAUAGUUGCCACAUAUGCUAUUAUCCUACAACCAGCCUAAAAAUCCAGAGUAUUUAUUUUCUUAAUAAAUACAGUUCUGAUGAAAAGUAUUUCCCCCCCUUACAUACUUAUUUUGUCAUAUCCACGGUGGUUGUGUGCAGGCUGGGUCAGUCUGUGUGUUGGUGCAGUGUUUUUUUCCUCCCACUCAGGGUGUGACCGGCAGGUGCUGCGACGCUGCUGCUGCUCAUCAGCGAGCAAUCAACCUGGGCUCAAAAGGAGUGGAGAUCCAGAAGGAGGCCUCAGCUCUUUGUCUCACAAAGCGUGGUAAACACCUCGGCCUCUGCAGCCCUGUUUUCUACUUUUUCUCUGACCAUCUUGGUUUUUCUCCUGUGCCUCCAGGAAAUGUUUCUACCGGAGUUUCUGUGGGUUUAAUGUCUCCUGCCGAGUUCAGAUGAAUGUGGAAAUUCAAGCCUCAAAGAACCUUGGCCGUAAGUCUUCUUUCUGCCUCCUUCCUGGACCAAGGUCUCUGGAAAUAACAUUUUACCUUGCUGUCCACCCUCCCACGGAUCAUCGUUGGCCUGCUGAUUGGAGUAAAGCACAAAGUCACCCUCCUGUCAACCUCAACCAUCGAGGUAAAGACUUAUUCCUCCCUGACCUGGCUAAGGGCUUAUUUGCUUGAGAUCCCAAUCCUGUCCGCUGAUCCAGUCCGGAUUCCAGAACGAACUUAGUUUGUGAAUAAAUUGUUUGUUUAAAUGCUG